rnacentral:lncRNA from 1 species
UCCUAGGGGAUGGGUUGGUAGGAGUUAACCAUCGUGCGAUCCCGACCGCCACACAAAGGAUGACAAUCAAUAAAUCAAUUAUGCUCCGACUUCAUAACAUAGCAGUUCACCAUACGUGCAUGCUACGGGAAUCACUAACCUCAAGACAAGUAUUUCUAGAUUCACAACACCCUACUAUCAUAACCCUAAUAUUACCAUAUCC